AUAGCUAGAUGGCGCUAGGAUGCGGCCAUAAAGCUGCUACUUCUACAGCCUAUUCGGAAGAAGUGCUAUUGUAGGAAAAUGGAGAUGGAUAGAAGCAUUUUUAAUGGUGAAAACAUCUUCUAGGAGUGUUUUAAUUAUUUCAUGUAAAUUUUGGAUUUUUCAUUAAAUAAAACUACUCCCUCCGAUUCAUAUUACUUGAUGCUAAUAUGGAUGUAUCUAGACGCAUUUUAGUUGUAGAUACAUCCAUUUUAGCAUCAAGUAGUAUAGAUCGGAGGGACUAGCAAAAUAGCUUGAAAUUUCAAAAUAUUCCCAGUGUCAUGUUUGGCUGGGGUCAGCUACUCCAGUGCCCAGCAUAGUGAGAUGGCGAUGAAGGUUAUCCCCAGGGUUAGCUGACCCAGAUGCCCCAGCUCUGUCCAUGAAUCUUUCCUCACAAGACUGGAAUUACUAAUUUCGGAGUAGCUAGGUGGUGCUUUUAUAGAAAUCGCAGGCGGUGUUAGUACAAGUCAGCCGCAAGCAACUCUUUGAAACAGUUCAAGGGCCAUCGAAUACGGUAGAAUUUUACAAAAUUAACCCCUUUCCUCAGAAGAAUACACGAAAUGGCCUACAGGCGAAACUAUUUCAGUCCCCUAACUGGCUUAGGGGAUUGAAAUAGUUUCGCCUGGAGGUCAUUUAGAGCAUUCUUCUGAGGAAAAGGGUUAAUUUGUCGAAAUCCUGCGGCUACCGGCGGAUGGACUUUCUUCUUCAACACUCGACAUGGCUGUGACUGACAAAAGGACAGAGGAAUUGAUAGAUGAGUACUGACUGGGGUACUGAUAGGACAACUCUACUGUAGGGGCUUGUACCACUCUGUCUCGUGCGUGAGCAAUCUCACUCGUGUCCGGUGGAAGCCCAUACUGACUUUUGCUACUGGGUCCACAGUCAACAUCACCAUAAAAGGUGAUACAUAUCUCCCGCUUCAUUCAAAUAGGCUAGGCGCGCUCUGCCUCUCUCCACUCGUGAUUUUCUCUGGAUGAAAGCUCGAUAGAUGUUGCAUCAAUGACGUGGGAGCCACAUAGGGGACCCACUUUUUUCAUUUAAGGUGGGAUGCACCUUCGCAACUAGAUGAGCCCGUAUUUUUUCAAAAAAAAUCAUAUAUAUCGUUCACCACGGCAGUAUAUAUUCAGCAUAACCAGCUGUUUUUGAAGAAAACACUAUACCUCUUUAUGCUUUCAUCCAUCUCUACGGCGUGGUUCGCGCGAUGAUGUAGCACUCGAGAGAGGAGAAGCCGGUGCACGGCAGGUUCUCUCCUCUUCCGCCGUCGGGCUAAGGAGAGCAGAUAGCCUGCGAAGACCAGAGUCAGCGAAGGGUGCAAGAAGCCUCGGCGACGUCAUCGACGCCGGCGCCGACGCGUGGACUGAGCUUACACUUAAGUCCAUAGCUGCACCGAUCUACCACAUGGCGCCGACUCAAGAGAGAUAUAUACAUGGACGAUCACAACCGUAAAACAAUGCCUCGACGUGGAUCAGUUCUAGCACGUCGUUGUUGUGGUGCUUCGGUACACUGCACCAAAUACUUUUUUAUUAUUAACAGUGUUUCGUUCAGUGUGACCGAAGUUCCACAACGGUGAUGAAAUUAAAUUCCAGUCACAAUGCACGAAAGAAAAACCUCUUGCGUGGACAUGCUUCUUAAUCAUCAUACUUAAAGGUGUGUGAGGAAGAUGCACUGGGGAUUGUGUUUUGCUGUGACUGCUAAUGGGGUUUCAAACCCGACCCCAAACCAGUAAAGCGGGGCCUCAACAUAAGACAUAAAACAGGCUUGCCAAGUCUUCAGUUGAUUUUCAUUUACAAUGUACACUUUUUUUCUCUUCCUUUAUAGGAGAGACUUGUUUUACUGAGAACGGGCUUGAGAAGUCUUCAGUUGAUUUUCAUUCACAAUGUACAUAUUAUUUCUCUUACUUUAUUGGAGAGACUUGUUUAUUGAGAUGCAUUUUGCCGA